rnacentral:rRNA from 1 species
UACGAAGGGGGCUAGCGUUGCUCGGAAUUACUGGGCGUAAAGGGCGCGUAGGCGAUCUGACAAGUCUGGUGUGAAAGCCCACAUGUUAACUGUGGAAGUGCAUUAGAAACUGUUGGAUUUGAGUUCAGGAGAGGAAGGCAGAAUUCCCGGUGUAGCGGUGAAAUGCGUAGAGAUCGGGAGGAAUACCAGUGGCGAAGGCGGCCUUCUGGACUGACACUGACGCUGAGGCGCGAAAGCCAGGGGAGCAAACGGG